rnacentral:rRNA from 1 species
GAUGAACGCUGACAGAAUGCUUAACACAUGCAAGUCGACUUGAAACAACUUCGGUUGUGGAAAGUGGCGGACGGGUGAGUAACGCGUAAAGAACUUGCCCUUCAGUCUGGGACAACCAUUGGAAACGAUGGCUAAUACCGGAUAUUAUGGAACUCUCGCAUGGGAGGAUCAUGAAAGCUAUAUGCGCUGAAGGAGAGCUUUGCGUUCCAUUAGCUAGUUGGUGAGGUAACGGCUCACCAAGGCGACGAUGGAUAGCCGGCCUGAGAGGGUGAUCGGCCACAAGGGGACUGAGACACGGCCCUUACUCCUACGGGAGGCAGCAGUGGGGAAUAUUGGACAAUGGACCAAAAGUCUGAUCCAGCAAUUCUGUGUGCACGAUGAAGGUUUUCGGAUCGUAAAGUGCUUUCAGUUGGGAAGAAGAAAGUGACGGUACCAACAGAAGAAGCGACGGCUAAAUACGUGCCAGCAGCCGCGGUAAUACGUAUGUCGCAAGCGUUAUCCGGAUUUAUUGGGCGUAAAGCGCGUCUAGGCGGGUUCAUAAGUCUGAUGUUAAAAUGCGGGGCUCAACUCCGUAUUGCGUUGGAAACUGUGAACCUAGAGUAUCAGAGAGGUGGGCGGAACUACAAGUGUAGAGGUGAAAUUCAUAAUAUUUGUAGGAAUGCCGAUGGAGAAGUCAGCUCACUGGAUGAAUACUGACGCUAAAGCGCGAAAGCGUGGGUAGCAAACAG